rnacentral:rRNA from 1 species
UACAGGAGGUCCCAAGCGUUGUUCGGAUUCACUGGGCGUAAAGGGGUGCGAGUAGGUGGUGAGGUAAGUCCGAUGUGAAAGCUCAGAGCUUAACUCUGAAAUGGCAUAGGAUACUAUCUUGCUUGAGGUUUGGAGGGGGGACUGGAAUUCUCGGUGUAGCAGUGAAAUGCGUAGAUAUCGAGAGGAACACCAGUGGCGAAGGCGAGUCCCUGGACAACACCUGACACUGAGGCACGAAAGCUAGGGGAGCAAACAGG